CUAAGUAUAGGAGAGACACAGACCUGUUGGAGUGUGUCCAGAGAUGGCCUUCAGAGGAGUGGAGUGUCCAGAGAAGUGUCACAAAAACGAACCAACCGAGGAUGGAACACCUUCCUACAACUACAGGCUGAGUGCUAGGGCUGUGCAGCCUGGAGAAGAGAAGGCUCCAAGGAUCACUGUUUCCAAGUCUUAUACAUUUGCAUUUACAGCCACCAUGCACUGCACAUUUUUAUACAAACAAGGACACCCCAUGGAGUCUAUAUGACUUGGAAGAUGAUGAAAGGAGAAGCUCUCUCACAGGAUGUUGGAAAGGAGUGCCUUUGACUUCACAAUUGCUAGGAAAAUGUUGAACACAAGGGCUAAAAAUUCAAAGACUGACUCCACCCCAGUUACUGUUCCUCAUAGUCUCCACAAUAUUGUUGCUGAUGCAUGACAAUGAGUUCACUGGACCUAAUC